rnacentral:rRNA from 1 species
GAUGAACGCUGGCGGCGUGCCUAAUACAUGCAAGUCGAGCGAACAGACGAGGAGCUUGCUCCUCUGACGUUAGCGGCGGACGGGUGAGUAACACGUGGAUAACCUACCUAUAAGACUGGGAUAACUUCGGGAAACCGGAGCUAAUACCGGAUAAUAUAUUGAACCGCAUGGUUCAAUAGUGAAAGACGGUUUUGCUGUCACUUAUAGAUGGAUCCGCGCCGCAUUAGCUAGUUGGUAAGGUAACGGCUUACCAAGGCGACGAUGCGUAGCCGACCUGAGAGGGUGGUCGGCCACACUGGAACUGAGACACGGUCCCGACUCCUACGGGAGGCAGCAGUAGGGAAUCUUCCGCAAUGGGCGAAAGCCUGACGGAGCAACGCCGCGUGAGUGAUGAAGGUCUUCGGAUCGUAAAACUCUGUUAUUAGGGAAGAACGAAUGUGUAAGUAACUAUGCACGUCUUGACGGUACCUAAUCAGAAAGCCACGGCUAACUACGUG